rnacentral:tRNA from 1 species
AGUUAGUGUAGCAAAAUCUGGUAUUGCAAAAGAUCUAAGCCCUUUCUAUAGAGGUUCAAAUCCUCUCAUUAACU